rnacentral:rRNA from 1 species
GGCGAACGGGUGCGUAAUGCAUGGGAAUCUGCCUAGUAGUGGGGAAUAACCCGGCGAAAGCCGGGCUAAUGCCGCAUACGACCUACGGGUGAAAGCGGGGGAUCGCAAGACCUCGCGCUAUUAGAUGAGCCCAUGUCGGAUUAGCUAGUUGGUAGGGUAACGGCCUACCAAGGCGACGAUCCGUAGCUGGUCUGAGAGGACGGCCAGCCACACUGGGACUGAGACACGGCCCAGACUCCUACGGGAGGCAGCAGUGGGGAAUUUUGGACAAUGGGGGCAACCCUGAUCCAGCGACGCCGCGUGUGUGAAGAAGGCCUGCGGGUUGUAAAGCACUUUCGUUGGGAACGAAAUAUGCCGACCUAAUACGUCGGUAGGCUGACGUUACCCAAAUAAGAAGCACCGGCUAACUCUGUGCCAGCAGCCGCGGUAAUACAGAGGGUGCGAGCGUUAAUCGGAAUUACUGGGCGUAAAGCGCACGUAGGCGGCUAUGUAAGUCAGAUGUGAAAUCCCCGGGCUCAACCUGGGAACUGCAUUUGAGACUGCAUAGCUAGAGUAU